GAUGAACGCUGGCGGCGUGCCUAAUACAUGCAAGUCGAGCGAAGCGGGGACGGGUGAGUAACACGUGGAUAACCUCCUAUAAGACUGGGAUAACUUAGGGAAACCGGAGCUAAACCGGAUAAUUAUAGAUGGAUCCGCGCUGCAUUAGCUAGUGGGUAAGGUAACGGCUUACCAAGGCAACGCUGCAUAGCCGACCUGAGAGGGUGUGCGGCCACACUGGAGCUGAGACACGGUCCAGACGCCUACGGUAGGUAGCAGUAGGGAAUCUUCCGCAAUGGGCGAAAGCCUGACGGAGCAACGCCGCGUGAUUGAUGAAGGUUUUCGGAUCGGAAAACUCUGUUGUUAGAGAAGCGGUAUCUAACCAGAAAGCCACGGCUAACUACGGGCCAGCAGCCGCGGUAAUAC
rnacentral:rRNA from 1 species